UUCUCAGGUCCUUUCAACAGAGAGCAUAAACAAGCAUGAAAGAUCGUUCUGCCUUCCUUCAUCUGCUUGGAUCUGAUCUCCUUUUUCAAGGCUUCAGCAUCUGGAACUCUCUCAGCAGCGUUCCCCACAUUGUUUUGGCAGCCGUAUGGCUGGAAUCCACGUCUUCCUCUGGUCAGGGACUGAACUUUAAGACCAGAAUCUUUUUGUUGAAGAUACCCUAAGCAAGACUGACUCCCCCUUAACAUCACAUCCCAGCGACAGCUGCCAACUCCC